UUAUUUUUUAAAGUAACAUUGUGGUUUUUUCUGGUAACAGAAGGGUUUUCCAUACAAAUUUGACCUGUCCCAAGUAGCACUUCGUUACAGAAAAUAUAAAAUAACUACAAUUUCCAAUAUACCAACCCACAUCAAUUAAAAUAUUACUAUAAACAGAAUAUUGCGAAUAUUUCUAAAAGUACAUUUUCAACCCGAUCAGUGCUAAGAUUUAUUUUAUAAAAAAUAUUUUAACUUUGUCCCACGUAGUGUUUGGAAUCGUGUGCACUACUAUGUUACUAAAUAAAUCAUUACUCAAAAUAGAGGUGGCGCUGUUUUCGACUUUCUAUUAGCUUGAGCGAGGUUUCUGCAGCCAUUGUGGUCGUUCGUUAGGUCUGGGGGAGGGGUACAUUGAAUCUCAGUCGACCGCGUGGCGCUGAACGUGCCGCGUGUUUUUAUUCCGCAUCAACAUUGUUACCUACCUAUUAAAGUUAUUCUGCCGUUAUUAACGCCCUUAAAAUGCCUCUCACGCCAGCUGAGAAGCAAGCAAGUUAACAGAAACAGAUCGAAGUUAUUUACAGGUUAUAUAAAAUUUAAGUAACAAUUAGAAACAGUUAACAAGAGAUAGGAGACGUAUAAAAAACAAUGCAACAGAGAAAAACGAAAGAAGUCUAAAAAUAAGGACGGCAAUCCAGAAAAUCCAGUAAAUGCUAUUAAAAAUGGCCAUGAAAAAGUUAAGAAUCUGAAGGAAAAGUAUGCUAUUGAUAAAAUAUUCGACAAGAAGGCCGUUAAAAUGUCUAGGCAGGAAAUACAAAUUAUACAAGAGUGUCUUGCUGUGGAUCAAAGUUUCAUAUGAAAAAAAUCAGCCCACAUGUAAGAAAAAUGUUUUUAGAACCAAAAUCAACCUUUUCGAACGUGACGACAUAUCAAAAGUAUGCAAUUUAUUCACUUAUAGUACAAAAAGAACAACUAAGUUACUGUGUUACAACUCUGUUACUUUCGUGUCCCGAAGAUUAAAGAACUUAGUUACGAAAUUUAGG